rnacentral:rRNA from 1 species
AGCUCCAAUAGCGUAUAUUAAAAUUGUUGCAGUUAAAAAGCUCGUAGUUGGAUUUCGGAUUGGGGCUACUGGUCCGCCUCACGGUGUGUUACUGGUGGCUCUGAUCUUCAGCCUGAGGACGGCGUGUGCUCUUUGUUGAGUGGGCGUUGGACUCAGGCGGUUUACUGUGAAAAAAUUAGAGUGUUCAAAGCAGGCUAUACGCUUGAAUAAUUCUGCAUGGAAUAAUGGAAGAGGACUCGGCUUCGCAUUUUCGUUGGUUUCAAGAAGCCAAGUAAUGAUUAAGAGGAACAGACGGGGGCAUCCAUAUUGUGACGCUAGAGGUGAAAUUCUUGGACCGUCGCAAGAUGAACCACAGCGAAAGCAUUUGCCAAGAAUGUUUUCA